ensembl:lncRNA
CAGUGAUUACUGGGAGACGAGCCAAUAUGCAAAUGCAGCUGCUUAUAUAAAACCCAGCUAAAUUAAGAGUCAGGGAUAGAGGUGUACCUGUGAAGCGUUCAUCUCUGUUCGCAUGAAUGAAAGAAUAUAAAUAAAGUCUAAAAGUGUUCACAGGAAAAGGUGUGACCUCUCUGUCUGUCAGUCCUAGUGAAAGAAUGAAGCAGGUGUGUCCUAUGUCCCCUUCAGCUUCAGUAAAGGACGAAGCUGUGGCCUGUUUCUGUCAGUUCCGGUAAAGGAAGGAGGCGUGGCCUUUGUGCCUGUCAGACCCAAUGAAGGAGGCAUAUUCCUGCUAUGUCCUUUGUCUCAUUUAGUCUCAAUGAAGAAGAAAGGACGUGUGGCCUCGGUCCCUGUCCGUCACAGUGGUGAAAGAAGGAGGCGUGGCCUCUGCGUCAGUCAGUUCCAGUGAAAUAGGCGUGGUCCCAAUAUAAGUCUGUACAAGUGAAGAAGGCGUGGCCAUAGUGUCAGUCAGUUCCAGUGAAGAAGGCAUGGCAUCUAUGUCAGUCAGUUCCAGUGAAGGAGGCGUGGCCUCUGUGUCAGUCAGUUCCAGUGAAAUAGGCGUGGCCCCAAUAUAAGUCUGUACAAAGGAAGAAGGCGUGGCCCCAGUGUCAGUCAGUUCCAGUGAAGAAGGCAUGGCAUCUAUGUCAGUCAGUUCCAGUGAAGGAGGCGUGUCCUCUGUGUUUCUCAGUUCCAGUGAAGGAGGUGUGGCCUCUGUCAAGUCAACAAAAAUGGAGCAUAUCUUUAGUCUCGUUCAGUCCCAGGGAAGGAGGAAGGAGGUGUGGCCCCAGUGUCAAUUCCAGUGAAGAAGGCAUGGCAUCUGUGUCUGUCAGUCACAUUAAAUGAGGCGUUUCCCUUGUCUAGUUCAGUCCAGUGAAGGAGGAAGGAGGUGUGUCCUCGGUGCCUGUCAGUCCUAGGGAAGGAGGCAUGGCCACUGUGUUUGUCAAUCACAAUAAAUGAAGUGUUUAUAAGGUGUGGCCUAUGUGUCUGUCAGUCAUAUUGAAAACAACGUGUUCAUAUGUAUGUGAGUGAAGAAAGACAACAACGACCAGCGGUUUCUUAGCCUCUGUUUAUUCCAAAAGUCCAAAAAAUAAAGCAGUCGGUUCACAUUCCAUUUAGAAAAAUCUACUCCGCUUUCCUCUUCACUGAGACUCUACUGAAAAUCUACUGAUGAUCCAAGUCCAUGUGUGUGUAUUUGUGUGUACAUUUGUGGAUUGCCAUUUAAGAAGUUCCUUACAAUCACCAUUUCUCCAACUCAACUUGAACCUCUGCUCAUAUUGUGUGUGUGUGUGUGUGUGUGUGUGUGUGUGUGUGUGUGUGUGUGUGUGUUCAUACAAUUAGAGAUCGGAGUUAUACACAUGGAUGGUCUCUGCUUUUAUAUACAAUACAAUAUACAUAGAAAACUAAUGGAUUGCAGUUACACAGCAUGGCAUAGAAAAAGGGUGCUCAGCAUAGAGGUUGGAUAUCAAUAUUCAUAUAUUUCCUGUGGUGAUAUUCUCUCUCUCAUAUUUCUCAGGUUUCUCAAUUCUCUACAGGAGUUCUACGUGUCUAAAUUCAUUCGCGUUAUCACCACCAUCACCGUCGUCAUUGCUUUAAAAAAAAAGAAAGAAAGAAAGAAAGAAAAACUAAAGGUUCUCAUGCGUUUCACAGUCAGGACUGCAUAUAGUAGUGCACAUAAUCGAAUGUACAAUAUGUUUAAAAGAAGGAAUUUUUAACGAGAUCUAUAAAAGAGAAAUAUCAUGUUUUAUUUAAGUCCUUUCACUUUACCACGCAAACACUGUAUAAACCUGCCAGGAGUAUUUUGGCACAAAACACUAUUUGGCAUUUAGAAAUAGCUCAUGGGAGUUUUACUUGGUCAAACGUUCUCCAAAGGCAGAAAGGAUUGUGAAUAGUUAGAUCAGGGAAUGAAUGGAAAUGGAAAGCAGGCAGGGUUUCUUGCGCCAUGAGUUUUUUGGUUUUAAAUGGCAGGAGUCAGUUCUUGAUGCAUCAUUUUAAUUACGUUUCACCUAGCUAGUAUAAGACUGUUAAAGUCAAACCAUUUUUAGCUCAGAUAUGAUGAUCAAUUACAAUGAAAAUACUCUAUACAGCUGGAAUUAUACUGGAAUUAAAAUGAACAUGGACCACAAACUAAGAAAUAUUUGCCUCGGACUUUAAGACCAUUUGCUGAAGUUUUUUUGAUUAUUCAUAUAUAUAUAUAUAUAUAUAUA